rnacentral:lncRNA from 1 species
ACACAUAUCACUGCUGCCACCCCCACAACCGCCUGUUCAAACACCAUCCACCACCUCCACCUGCAACUCUAAUAGCCACCGCAUCACCACAACCACUGCCUGCUAAAAUCCACCAUUUCUUCCAACGCUACAACACCCAUAGAAUCCAUCCAACCACAAUCAGAAAACCACAACGUAUAAAAUCCUUAAAACCACCGCACCAACUGGAAAAACAGAUGCAAAAAA